UGACAAAAAUGUGGCCGUCGUGUUAACUCUCGUGUCGGAUCUCUUUAUAGAAUCGCUUGAUACACAUUCUUUGCUGUUUAGCAGAUUUUAAACCUGAGCCAUCCACUGUAACCACAAGAUUUACAAGUCUUUGCUUGUGAUGGACCUUUCUUCAGCAACUAUCUCAGUCUCAUCAUCGCUUGGGUAAACAGCAUCCUGUUUGAUUAAAGAAACUAUCCAUGUCGGUCGAUUAUCUCUUCUUUGCCUUUCUUUAAAUGUCCUCGUGUAUGCCCAUGUGAGUGUGGGUGUAUUCACGAGGACUCCCAUUUUUCCUAUCCUGCCUGGUGUGGA